rnacentral:rRNA from 1 species
CCUACGGGAGGCAGCAGUAGGGAAUAUUGGACAAUGGGGGCAACCCUGAUCCAGCCAUGCCGCGUGAGUGAAGAAGGCCCUCGGGUUGUAAAGCUCUUUUGGCGGGGACGAUGAUGACGGUACCCGCAGAAUAAGCCCCGGCUAACUUCGUGCCAGCAGCCGCGGUAAU